AGCUUAUUCAUUGCUCCGACUAACCCGCAGGCCGAACCCUUGAAUCACUACUUUAUUUAUCAUCAGCCACGGGCUCAGAAAGUCUCGACGAGGAAAUGAGUAGAACCCAAACUCAUCGGCUGUGUCUCUGAGACGUGCCUAAUCGCCGAGGCCCCUUCUGGGCCAAACUGCAAAGAGGACUCUAGAUUAAGAACUGACCAGAUGGCAGAAUUCAGUUGCUGGCCGCUCUACCCCACGCCUGCCCUUGGCUGCCGUUCCCUGGGAGCAGAUCAAACACCAAAGAGUCACCGAGGCAAAGGUGAAGACACAGACAAAGAGACUUGACCAAGGUCAGGACCCCAGACACAGGACCCUCCGUGAAAGCCUGCCUGGCUGUGCUCCAGGGAGACAACGACCAGGGCCAUGCAACCAGAAGAUUCCAGUCCUGUUCAUUGGGGAGGGGGGGGGGGGCAUCCUGGCCAGGGCAAGCCCACACUGAAUGUCUGUAGAAGGCAUGACUUUGGGCUCUGACAAUGUGUCCUGGGGCAAGCAAGGCCAAAAGCUACCUUCCAUAAGGGCCAGAACAUUCUGGAAGUAAAGGGAGCAGAUAUCUCUCUGUGGCCCUCUUUACAUUCCAUCUACCCAGAUUCAUCUCCUGAAUGAGCUAUAAACCCAGACUCCCCAGCCCGUCUGGCAGAUGCCGGACAAGGAUCCCCCACAGUUGGGAAAGAAGAGAAAUUAAUGCUGAUUAAAACCGCCCAGUGCAAGGCCCUUGCCAGAGCCGGCCCAUCGGACGAUGAAACAACUUCCCAGCUCAGAUGCCCAAGGGGCCCCCCCACUGCUCCUGGAUGCCUUAAGAGACUGGAGCCUCCAAGGCCAGAAUACACCUCAGAAAGGUAGGAGCUGGGACCCUCCACCUGCAAGACACAAUGUCCCCACCAGCUCCCACCUCAGA